rnacentral:sRNA from 3 species
CGAGAAAGCGUUGCCGCAGGCAACGACCCGAAGGGCGAAGCGCGCAGCGCUGAGUAAUCCUUCCCCCACCACCA